rnacentral:rRNA from 1 species
UUUAUUGGGCGUAAGCGAGCGCAGGCGGUCUUUUAAGUCUAAUGUGAAAGCCUUCGGCUCAMCCGAAGAAGUGCAUUGGAAACUGGGAGACUUGAGUGCAGAAGAGGACAGUGGAACUCCAUGUGUAGCGGUGAAAUGCGUAGAUAUAUGGAAGAACACCAGUGGCGAAGGCGGCUGUCUGGUCUGCAACUGACGCUGAGGCUCGAAAGCAUGGGUAGCGAACAGGAUUAGAUACCCUGGUAGUCCAUGCCGUAAACGAUGAUUACUAAGUGUUGGAGGGUUUCCGCCCUUCAGUGCUGCAGCUAACGCAUUAAGUAAUCCGCCUGGGGAGUACGACCGCAAGGUUGAAACUCAAAAGAAUUGACGGGGGCCCGCACAAGCGGUGGAGCAUGUGGUUUAAUUCGAAGCUACGCGAAGAACCUUACCAGGUCUUGACAUCUUCUGACAGUCUAAGAGAUUAGAGGUUCCCUUCGGGGACAGAAUGACAGGUGGUGCAUGGUUGUCGUCAGCUCGUGUCGUGAGAUGUUGGGUUAAGUCCCGCAACGAGCGCAACCCUUAUUACUAGUUGCCAGCAUUAAGUUGGGCACUCUAGUGAGACUGCCGGUGACAAACCGGAGGAAGGUGGGGACGACGUCAAAUCAUCAUGCCCCUUAUGACCUGGGCUACACACGUGCUACAAUGGAUGGUACAACGAGUCGCGAGACCGCGAGG